UACGGAGGGGGCUAGCGUUGUUCGGAAUUACUGGGCGUAAAGCGCGCGUAGGCGGCUUUGCAAGUCGGGUGUGAAAUCCCCAGGCUUAACCUGGGAACUGCAUUCGAGACUGCAUUGCUAGAGUAUGGGAGAGGGAAGUGGAAUUUCAGGUGUAGCGGUGAAAUGCGUAGAUAUCUGAAGGAACAUCAGUGGCGAAAGCGACUUCCUGGACCAAUACUGACGCUCAUGUGCGAAAGCGUGGGGAGCAAACAGG
rnacentral:rRNA from 1 species